rnacentral:rRNA from 1 species
UACGUAGGGUGCAAGCGUUAAUCGGAAUUACUGGGCGUAAAGCGUGCGCAGGCGGUUUUGUAAGUCUGAUGUGAAAUCCCCGGGCUCAACCUGGGAAUUGCAUUGGAGACUGCAAGGCUAGAAUCUGGCAGAGGGGGGUAGAAUUCCACGUGUAGCAGUGAAAUGCGUAGAGAUGUGGAGGAACACCGAUGGCGAAGGCAGCCCCCUGGUUCAAGAUUGACGCUCAUGCACGAAAGCGUGGGGAGCGAACAGG